rnacentral:rRNA from 1 species
GUCGAACGGAAGGCCCUUCGGGGNACUCGAGUGGCGAACGGGUGAGUAACACGUGGGUGAUCUGCCCUGCACUUUGGGAUAAGCCUGGGAAACUGGGUCUAAUACCGAAUAUGACCAUGCGCCUCCUGGUGUGUGGUGGAAAGCUUUUGCGGUGUGGGAUGGGCCCGCGGCCUAUCAGCUUGUUGGUGGGGUAAUGGCCUACCAAGGCGACGACGGGUAGCCGGCCUGAGAGGGUGACCGGCCACACUGGGACUGAGAUACGGCCCAGACUCCUACGGGAGGCAGCAGUGGGGAAUAUUGCACAAUGGGCGCAAGCCUGAUGCAGCGACGCCGCGUGAGGGAUGACGGCCUUCGGGUUGUAAACCUCUUUCAGCACAGACGAAGCGCAAGUGACGGUAUGUGCAGAAGAAGGACCGGCCAACUACGUGCCAGCAGCCGCGGUAAUACGUAGGGUCCGAGCGUUGUCCGGAAUUACUGGGCGUAAAGAGCUCGUAGGUGGUUUGUCGCGUUGUUCGUGAAAACUCACAGCUUAACUGUGGGCGUGCGGGCGAUACGGGCAGACUUGAGUACUGCAGGGGAGACUGGAAUUCCUGGUGUAGCGGUGGAAUGCGCAGAUAUCAGGAGGAACACCGGUGGCGAAGGCGGGUCUCUGGGCAGUAACUGACGCUGAGGAGCGAAAGCGUGGGGAGCGAACAGGAUUAGAUACCCUGGUAGUCCACGCCGUAAACGGUGGGUACUAGGUGUGGGUUUCCUUCCUUGGGAUCCGUGCCGUAGCUAACGCAUUAAGUACCCCGCCUGGGGAGUACGGCCGCAAGGCUAAAACUCAAAGAAAUUGACGGGGGCCCGCACAAGCGGCGGAGCAUGUGGAUUAAUUCGAUNNNACGCGAAGANNNUUACCU